AGAAAGAAUUGAAGAAAAGGGCAAAGUCAGUGCAUGAUUUGUGGGAAGUCAUGUUUGAGCAUGACAACCUCAUUGAAGAAAACCAACCUAAAGAAGAUGCUGCACCCGUAACACCAACAACGCCUGUGCCUCCUGUAGAUCCAACACCUAAUCCUGUGCCUGUGCCUCCUGUUGACCCAACACCUAACCCUGUGCCUGUUAACCCAACACCUAAUCCUGUGCCUGAUAACAAUGCGCCUGCAGGAUAUCCACGAGCAACUCCCCAAGCGCCUGUGGCAAAAGGAUACGGUGGUGCACCUAUGACACCUAAUCCAUCAGACCCCCAAACAAAUGUGCCUGUAGAGCCAGCUCCUGAGCAG
rnacentral:lncRNA from 1 species